ACGAACAACCGGGCACAAGAGAUCAAAGCAGCGACGAAAUUUUGGAAGCUGCAAAAGAAGCCCAUUAAUGCAAUUUUCACAUAUAAAGAUUGGCUUUACAGUGCAAGUUCAGUUGUGGAAGGUUCAAAUUUGAAGGAAUGGAGAAGACACAGCAAACCCCAAAUGUCGCUAAAAACCGGCAAAAGAGAACGUGUUAUGGCAAUGGGAAUAGUUGAAGACUUCAUAUAUCUCAACUGCAGCUCAGCAACAAACAGCAUUCAGAUAUGGUUAAGAGGGACUCAGCAGAAAGUGGGCAGAAUUUCAGCUGGAAGCAGAAUUACCAGCCUCCUCACUGCCAAUGACAUUAUCCUAUGUGGUACCGAGACGGGUCUGAUCAAGGGUUGGAUCCCCCUAUAGCAUGAAAUACAUCAGCCAGCACGUCUGAGACAGCAAAGAAGGAUGAUGCUUCGUAUUUAUGCCUUAUUUUCAAAUACAGUUGCAUGUAAGGAGCUAUGUUGCGUCAUUGGUUGCUAAGUAUGUAAUAUGCGAUAUCAUUGUUUGUGCAUUGUAUUUUGUAUUCAACAUGUGUACCGAUAUGGUGGUUGAUUUACCCAUAAAGAGAAAGCUAAAAACCCUAGCCUCCCUUCUCUCUCUCUCUCUCUCUCUCUCUCUCUCUCUCUCUCUCUUUUCUUUACCUCCCCGCUUAUUUUCCCCUUCCCCAUCUAUUGGAUUUGGGGUUUUAAUUGUGGGGGGUCGAUUUGUGUCUAGAUCUGCUUUGGAUUUGUGGUUUUGUUGGUUGGUGAUUUAGUUGUAAGGUGACUGGCU